rnacentral:tRNA from 1 species
GGAGAGGUGCCCGAGCGGUUGAAGGGGGCGGUCUCGAAAACCGUUGUGCCUUAUGGGUACCCAGGGUUCGAAUCCCUGCCUCUCCG